rnacentral:rRNA from 1 species
UACGAAGGGGGCUAGCGUUGCUCGGAAUUACUGGGCGUAAAGCGCACGUAGGCGGCUUUCUAAGUCGGGGGUGAAAUCCUGGAGCUCAACUCCAGAACCGCCUUCGAUACUGGAGAGCUCGAGUCCGGGAGAGGUGAGUGGAACUGCGAGUGUAGAGGUGAAAUUCGUAGAUAUUCGCAAGAACACCAGUGGCGAAGGCGGCUCACUGGCCCGGUACUGACGCUGAGGUGCGAAAGCGUGGGGAGCAAACAGG